CGCGGGCGCUCGCGGGGCCGGAACCGGCUGGAAUUGCAAAAACCCUGGGGAUUGAGAGCCCUAGGGGACGCCGGGCGUUGCCGCUGAGGAGUGUUUUGCCUGCCUGUAUGUGUGCUUGAAGAUGCCAGAAGAAGGUGUUGAAUCCCCUGGAACUGGAGUUAACAUGUUGGUACUGAAAACUGAACCCAGCAAUUAGACUGUGACAAUGGACCGACCAAAUGGACAUCAUCCCUGGACAUGGUCCCUGAAGGGAGAGUGCCACCUUCUGGCAGGGCAGUGCUGGAAAUACCCCAGGCAGUGUGACAGGGGCAGCCAUGGCUGUGGAUCUCAGGAAACAUGCUAUAGAGACAGGGAUGACUGAACUUCUGAGCUUCCUGCCCCCACCCAAGUGCUGGGAUUACGCAGUACCGCAUCUGGUCUGCACCGAGGAUCAAACCCAGACUUUCUGCAAGCACUUUGCCAACUGAUCCACAGCCCAGCACCCUCCCUGCGCCUUCCCAGCACCAUGGGGCAUCAAGACAGAAGGAAGCCAGAACUCUUCUUUGAUCCACUACAGCCCAUCUCCCGCUCUGGGACUUCUCUCCCUGGUCAGCAGUUAGGAUGGCUGCCGACCUCCCAAGCAGACAUGAUGUAGAUGUGCAGCCUUUGUCAAGAUGCGUUUUUGCACAGAUGUCAUUUAGAAGCAACCAAAUGGUAACACAUGGUGGGUGCUCCUCAGACUAGAGGGAAGAACAGCUGUAUUUAAUUUACUAGACUAUCACAGUCUUCAGCCCAGUGCCUUGACCAAGGAAACAUCAUGAGGUGGCUCUAAAGGAAGAAGCCAGUGGAGGCUGCAGAGAGGCCUAGGGGGGUCACACUCUGCUCCUACUUGUGCAUCCAGUGUAACCCUAAAAGGCUCAUGCAAUGAAGGUUUGGCUCCAGUUGGGGGCUCCAGUGAGAGGUCCCUGGUUCAUGAGGGCACUAAUCUCAUCAAUAGACUGAGCAACCCUUGGAUACUGAAUGGCCUGUUAGGAGCCAGGGUAUAACUGAAGGUGUUCUGCCUCUACCACAGGUCCAGAAAUGAUGGAACUAGCCCAUCACUGACUGAAAACCCCCAAAGCCUGUCUUCUUUUGUUUUUGCCAGACAUUUCAUCAUGGUAACAAAGCUCACUGAUGCUCUCUCAAGCCCCUCCUCCUCCACUCAGGCAAAUAUGGGAUCUGAACGGUGCUCUGUACAGAGUCCACUAGAACCACCGCUGACCUCGUCUUCUCCAUCCCAUCCACUUCCAAGGAGACAGAAGCCUCUGACAGGCGAGACUUCCACUAGAGGCCACUAGAGGGAGCUGUUGGCCUACAGGAUAAAACGGACAGCCUUGCCUUUGAGGGGUGGAUGACCAGUCCCUUCUCUGCAGUCUAAAGGACAGAUCUGAAAAAUAAUAGGAAGGGGCAGGGAGAGAACAGCUGCUAUAGACUUGGACUCCAAGGUAAUGACAUGGUAUUCAUUAUACAGAAAACAUCGGAACACAUUUGCACAUCUGUAUUUUAAAGGAAGCUGCGGGUUUUGUGUGUGUGUGUGUGUUUGAUUUUUUUUUAAAGAUGUAUUUAUUUUAUUUAUAUGAGUACACUGUAGCUGUCUUCAGACACACUAGAAGAGGGCAUUAGAU